GAACGAGCGCACCCUUGCCUUUAGUUGCCAGCAUUAAGUUGGGCACUCUAGAGGGACUGCCGAGGAUAACUCGGAGGAAGGUGGGGAUGACGUCAAAUCAUCAUGCCCCUUAUGCUUAGGGCUACACACGUGCUACAAUGGGUGGUACAGAGGGCAGCCAAGUCGUGAGGGGGGGGUGAUCCCUUAAAGCCAUUCUCAGUUCGGAUUGUAGGCUGAAACUCGCCUACAUGAAGCUGGAGUUACUAGUAAUCGCAGAUCAGAAUGCUGCGGUGAAUGCCUUCCCGGGCCUUGUACACACCGCCUUU
rnacentral:rRNA from 1 species